rnacentral:tRNA from 1 species
AAGGGUAUAGCUCAGUGGUAGAGCACAUGCUUAGCAUGCAUGAGGUCCUUGGUUCAAUCCCCAGUACCUCCU